ACCACCAAGAACAUCAGCAG
rnacentral:misc_RNA from 1 species